AUAGGUUCAGCUAAUGCUGCUGGGCUCUUUCAUGGACAGCUUGGCAGCUACCCUGAAGAAUGCAGCCCAUGUGUAUUAAUAGACCAGAAAAGUGAUUCACUGUUCUAUGUACCUGUGAAAGGAUUUGCCUGGAAGAAGGAGAAAGGGAACUGUUGUCAAAUUCUGGACUGGAGUGAACUGUAAUGCUGAAGCUGAGAGGGGAAGUGUCAAGGAGCAGAGCUGCAGAAAGGCUUCCUGGCUGAUCAACCAACAGACAGCACUUUCUGAAUGCAAAUUUUUGGAUUUGAACACCUUUGGCACCUGUCACUAGGCUGCCCAGAGAGGAGUCAGUCAUCACCACUGAUUGUGCUUGUACCGUUGCUGGCUAAAAGGUAACAGCAUGUGAAUACUGAUCAGGAAGAAGUAAACUUACAGGUGAAAUAGAAAGUUUUUGCUAAGAAAUUCUGGAGAAAUGACCGUGUCACCUUUUAAAUAAUUGGUUUAAUGGUACAUAAGCAUCAUUAUCUUCCAAGGUGAUUAUGAAGAGGAGAAAGGAACAGGAUACUGUUGCUACCAUCCUUUGCACCAGCAGAACAAGCAAAAAUUAAUUUGAGGAAAACUGUCUAACAGUACAGCUAAUAAAAUACCACAUUAAGUUCAAAUGGAAAUAAAGAGAAUUCACCUGAGGAAUAAAACCUGUCCAUUCAUGCCAAGAAAACCCCUGCAAAACAGCUCCCUAAUUGAAAGUGCAGGCAGGAUACUUCAUCAAAGUCUCUCUAACAAGCAGAUCCUAUCAUUUCCCCUAUGAGAGAGAAGGAAAAGGUACAUGCCCGACUUGCUCAUGCAUACGUGCCUCACAAUGACUCGGAGAGAUCUUCAGAAUGCAAGGAAACCUCCCGAGUUGCCAUAUCAUUCAUGGACUCAUUGCCUGCAAACAAGCACAGUAUGGGAGUGUAAGGAAAAUAAAGAAGAGCGGAGGAAAAGAAAAAAUAUAUAUAUACAUGUAUAUACACACUAACUCUCCGAAAAUCUUGACUGACUCCAAGGAAAGCAUCAAGGUUCUAAAGUCCAAAUGACUGACAUUAUGAGUCUGGUGUUUUGGAAACCCCACACUGGGGCUCAAUGUGUGAAUGCAAGGAUUCCCACAAGCGAUGCCUUCGUGAGCACAGAGGCCUCUAAUAUGGCACAAAAAGCACCAAACACCAGGCUGGCUGUGACCACAAGCCAUUGGAGAUGCUGUCAACAUAUCAUCUCUACUGCUCAGUGAAAGCUGAUGGAGAGUGAGCUUCAGAGCAGGAGCCCCAUGAGUGUGAGGCACCAUCACAGCAAGGGAGACACCACCGCUCUCACAGCUAGGCUGUGGUAACCCACUGCAGCCACUACACUGGCUCUUGCCAACCUGCCCCAGCAUGGUAGCCCAUUCAUCUUUCCUUUCUCUAUUGGCUUUGUCAUCCUUCCAGAAGAGAUGGAUGCAAAGAACUCCCAGGUGACUGGAAAGAAGCCUUCCCAAAGUGCCCCAUCACACUCAUCCCAUUUCACACUUCAGCCCAUUUCUCUCUCCCUCAAGCAGGUUGCAGGCUUCUGUUCAGCCAGGCCCUCGCAUUCCCUCUCGCUUCCCAUCCUUGCCCCCACAGAGCAAAGUGGAAACUCUCAGGGUGGCUGCCAGAGGCACCCGGAAACGGGGUGAGGAACCCAGGGCAGUGCUCCCCAGCAUGCUUCUUCCUGCUGAGGAAAUCUCUCAGAGGAACCUCUGGGGCAAUAGGAAGGCAGCAGAGCUUCCUGCUGGCUUGCAAGCUCUGUUUCUAUUCUGCAAUUUUCCCUGAGCACUCAGCAAACCAUUCAGAUGCUUGGACCAUAUGGUAAUUCAUUUGUCUUGGAUUAAUUUUUAUCUGUAUUAGAGAUUUAUUCCUGGUCACUGUUUAUUCUCCAACAACAUAUACCCUAGCAAUGGCCAUAACAGCUACACUAUUAAUGUGGUAAAAAAUUUGGCUCCUCCGUUAGCUGUUCUGUUCCUCUCACAAAGACAAGGAAGAAAUAUUUUAAACCUAGUCCCUAGUUUACCCUAGUUUAUCUCCAUAACAACAGCUUGCCUCUGGGCCAGCAGGCCAAGCUGACCUGCCUGGCUCCUGCUGGUGUCUGCCACUGAGGCAUUGCACUACAAGAUCUUCCUCAUGGUGGCACAGAACAAACAUCUAAGGAGCAUAAGGGCUGAAGAUAAGGAUGCAGGAUGCCUCACCAGCUCAUCAACCCCCAGGUUGCAGUAUGAGGAAAGGAAAAACAGAAAAACAGCUUUUCAGGAGUAUGUGGCACACACAGGUACAUACAGCGGUCUUGUCUAUUCCUGGCUGAAUGUUUGACCUCUCUGAAUGAGGCAUGGGAUUAAAGAGGGCUAAAGUGCAGAAAGGUGUUCCUCCCAAGGAGCGAGCAACGUGCUCUGCUUUCUCACUAAAAGAAAGAAAUUCUACCUUUGUGUAGGAUGACCCAAAUUUCUCUUUUAAGACACGCAUGAGGCUUGAAUAUUUUUUUUCACCCUAGCGUAUCACUUAAAUUCAAAGCAGCAGAAGUGUCCAUAUCCUGACAGACACUCAGCCUAUUUCAUUCAAAAGCAUUCAUAAAGUAUUUCACACACUAAAGAUGGUUGUCACAAUAAAGAGUAAUUCCUGCAAAGUUUUAAUGUUAGCUCUGAAAUUCAUGUAUUACAUUUUUAUUUUUAUUUUUUUUUUUAAACUUGCCAAGCCAAAAGAUGCUAAAGGGAAAAAAAAGAAAAAAGCAAGCAGCAUGGUGGUUUCCACACUGGUGGGCAGCUGAACGCAAUGCCUGCUCUCUCAUCUGCCUUCUGAAGAGAAGAUAGGGAAGAGGUCUCAAGGGUUGGGACAAGGACAGGGAAAUCACUCAACCAGUUUCUGUCACAGGCAAAACACUCUCAGUGUGGGGACAUUCAUAGAGUUUAUUGUCUAUCGUAAACAGACCAGUGAGAACUAAAAGCAAACUAAAAACACCUCUCCCUUGCCACCCAUCCUCUUCCACCUCCUUACCUGAGCAGUGCAGAAGAACAGGGAAUGAGGGCUACUAUCAGUCCGUAACAUCACUGCCACUCCCUCAUGGAGCCCUUUUCUCCUUGUUAUACAGCUACUCUGAAGACAGCUUAAAAUUCACAAAUGUAUAUUUGCAAGGCUUUGAACCUGAUUCAGAUCUAAUUCCGUGCCCAGGACAAGCUUAGUGCAAGGCUUCCACGUAGUCACUCCUUCAGAUUGGGUCAAUACACAGCACUCACUCCAUAUGUGGCCAAUGUAGACAAUACAUCCCGAUGUGAAGAACUCCACCACUCCUACUGGCCCCCAAGAGCUCACAAGCUCUCCAAUUACUAUACACAUUACCUAAGCAGCAUCUAUGUUUUUAAAAUAGUAGAGAGAGCAGCUUUAAACUAAAAUAUAUUUAACUUGAGUCCCUCUGGAGCUAACAUCCAUGAUCAAAAUAGUCAACUAAAAUUCAUUAAAUCUACUUACCUCAGUAUAAUUGAAAUGCAAAUCUCAGUGAAACAUUUUAGCUAAACAGGUGAAUUCCUCUUUGAAUCACACAGUGAUGCCAUUCUUAGAGAACAAUAUCUGACACAAAGCACACAGGCUCCAGGGACCUCAAAAUCUACCAGCACUCAAGUUUCUGAAUGAUAAAAUUGCCAUAUAAAAACAUAAGUAAUUAAUUGCUCCUUUCAGCAGGUCUUGUCUGAUGUACUCAGACAAGAGUAAAUUAUAAGUUUAUAAGACAAGUUUAAAUUAUACAUCUUUCAGAAUAACUCAUCUAUUGAACUUGGACAUAGGGGAAGAAAUGGUAGCAACACCUUCCACACCUACAAUAUUUGCAACAGGCUCAGAAAAAGAAAAGCACCAUAGCUGAAACAAUGGUUGGGACAUCACAAAAUUGGCUGAGUAAUUUUGGAUGAAUUUUCCAGGUUAAACAAAAUCAGAAACAUUAAUUUCUGCAUUCGAACUCAUGACAUCAAAAGUUGAAUCAUGUGAAUCUCUAAAUACCAUAAUUUCAAAGAAUUCAUUGCAAAUAAAAAAAAUAUUCUGGCACAUGCCUCCAAUAUCUGAAAAAAUAUAUUGUGUAUCUAUAAGCUAAACGCAUUUACAGAUGCAUUAGAUAUAAAUACAUAACGUAAAUACACAUAUUUGUAAUAUGAUCAUAUAUGUAAUGAUCACUGAGUGCGAAGAGUAUUGUUUAAUGAAAAAAAAGUAAAGGUGUUUGAGUUCCUAUAAAAAAGCCAAAGCAGAUUUGGGUGCUGGAUUGCUCUGCAUUAUUUAUGUGGUUAUACUUAAUAUUCUUCUUCUUGUUUUAAAGUCAGGACCUGAGAUAUUCCUGAAUUUCUCAAUGGCAAAUUCUUUGCAUCUUAUCUUUAAAGGCUGAACCACAGUGCACAACUCAGCCUUAUCCAAGACAGCCUCCAAACUGAGAAGUCAGCAAAUCAAGAUAGUAAACAAGCAGAAAGAAGAAGAUAUGAGUGUUUACUACAAACAAGAAACACAAAGAUUGAAUUCCACAGCUGUUACAGAAGAGACAGCUGGAUAUGAAUGCUGCUUAGAGCAGACAUAGUGUGCUAACCACUGAGAUGUUUCUUGCCUAGAUGGAAAAAGAUUUUGUACUGAUUGUCAUUCAGGACAUUUCGUGAAGAGUACCUCCCAAAUUGGAAACUACUUGCUUUUGCUGGCUUUAGAUAAGUAGGUGAAAAGGCACAACCUGCACCAGACAAUACCUGGUUUCCAUGAAGAUGGCUUUGAAACUGAGGAUGGAAUCAGAUGAAGAAUAAGUAAAACAACUGUUAAAUUAUGAUAAUUCCUCUAAGAAAUAUGAGAAAUCUUCAAAGGAAAAAUGAUAGGAAUUAUAUCAUUCAAUAAUUGAAUACUGGUUCUCCAAUAAGACAUGAAAUAUUAGAAAACACUAUAAAUGCCCAAAAGGUUAUCUAUUGACUUCAUACUUCACAGCUACUUUUGUGCAGACAAUGAGGGAGCAAGACCUGCAGAAAACAAGCUACUGCUGUCAGAGAGCUUGUGGUUGAAACCAUUUCUAUUCUAAUGAAAUAGUGAAUCUACAGAAGAGCCCUUUCUCCAAGAUCAAUAGAAAGGCUUCUGUAGGCUUCCCAGCAAAGAAUGUUUGUUAGGAGGUUGCAAGAGAAAGAAGACUGCUGCCAAUCUCUGACCAUUGAGAUGUUCACAUCUCACAGUAGAAGUAUUGCAUAUACUUCAGUGCCCACUUUAAAACUUGUGGGAAUUUUUUGACACCUGAAAUUCAUUAAAUAGAUCAUGACAAGUUCAUCUGAGAUGCAAGCCUACUUCCUUUGCUUGAUUUAUAUUGGAUUUAAAAGUAGUACCUGCUGGGACUUUAAGUUAUGAUUAAAUUUGAAAUGUCAUUGUGGGACCUCAAAAAAAACAAGAGCUCCAGCCCAGGGAAGGAACCAGUACCGAGUCAUUUGGGGAACAGCCAUCCACUUUCAUGAAAGAAAAUCAUUACAUUUGUCAACCAGAAUCUUACCAAAUUACAGGAUUCUUAACAGAGCAGCCUUCUAGGUAUUACAUUUUGUCGUCUUAAGAAUGGCAGAAGUUGCCAAAAUUCAUUACAGUGGGGAUAAGAUAGCUGGACCUCGUGUCCACUGAGCUGUAGAAUCUGUACAAUACCCAUAAUGACUGCUGCUGGUGGGAGUGUUGCAAUUCCUCUGUCCAGUGCUGUAUCUGGCUGACAAAUUCACAACACGGUUGCAGAUGCUGGCAGGCAGUUGUUGAUCAGUGCUCAAAGUGACAAGUGAUGUUCAGAAGUUCUUCUGGCUUGAAUGUUUCCUCCCUGCAUGUCAACCUCUGUCCUCUUUCAGUCAGGUGGCUUUUGCUAGAGCCUCACUGGUGUACAUCAGUGACACAGGUAGGAAGGAAACACAGUUUUGGCUUUCUUUAGAUGGUUGCUUAGCACAAUCCAGACUGGAACUACCUUGUUAGCAUUGUGAAUUAAGUAUUACUGGGAAGAGGAAAAUACUGAGACCUAAUAGUUGUCACCCUGUACCAUAGAUAUGCUCUGCUUUAAUAGAAAGUGAAAACAGUGACAAAACUUUAAGAAGAAUUUAUAAAGCUCCUGCCUUUACAGCCUUUUUAAACUUCUGCUCAACCUAACUUUCUGUGACAAGAAAAAUUAGAAACUUGACUUCAGUAACUUUUUCCAAAUCAGCUGGUAGAGUUAAUCUGGGUGUUUUAUAGAAUGGCUCUUAGGUGUAUGGAUCAGAUUUAAGAUGAGGAAUAACUAAUGUUACCAGAACUUUUCACUAUAGCAGAAAAAGGAAAGAGAAAGAAAGAGAGAAAGAGAACUCUCUUCUAUAAAGCUGCAGCUAUUAUAGAAGAAACAAAGGGGGAUAUUUGCUAUCCUUUUCUGGAAAAAGUGACAGAACUAAAGAUCAGUCAUGACCUAGUAAAUACGAGGUACUGCCUCUUACUCUGUGUCUGGACACAGUAUUUCUGACUAUGGCAAGAAAUAAGUUCUGGAAAUUGUUGGUUCUGACUUACCUUGCCCUUUAUCCUCUCCUCCAUGCACCUGCUGCUGAAGGUAGGAAACCUGGCUAUGGGCAUCUCUAACCAAGGGAAGCCUUUUUUUUUUUUUUCCCCUCUGGUUAGUCUGUCCAACAAUUAGCACUGUACAGGCCUACCAUAAGAAGAAAAAGAGAAAUGGAUAACAGAUUUAUUUAAUUGCGUUUAUACAAGUAAAAGACAAAAGAUCUCAGUCCAUCUGUAUACGAAGCAUCAUGCAAGCAGUGUCUGUUUGCAUUUAUAAUUCAAUCCAUUUUCAUCUUCCACUUUGGAGUCUCCAAGUCUUUACUAAACUUCAGGCAGGAUACUAAUCACUGGUAAAGGUUAGGUGUACAAUUUUUUUUCCAAAAUAGACCAGAAACAAGCACAAAGGGCACUAGUAGUGAUGUAUUUUAAUUACUCCUUCCAGUGGCAACCUUAUCCAGAAGAUGUCACCAAAACACAAGUAGUACUCAAUGUUCCUACAACAAAGAACAUAAAUGGAAGGACUUCUAGUCUGUAGAUGAACCACAGAAAAUAAAAUAAAGAAGGAUGCUGAAAGAAUACCUCAAAAUAAAAUUACUGUUUUUCAAGGAGAAGAUUAAAUCCUCGUAUCAUCAUAGCAAGAAUGCUGGAUACACUGUACAAGGAGAAAAUCUGACGGAAAAUAUAGAAUGAUGUUUUGAGCAGAGAUCACAUUCUUGCCAAAAUUCUUCCCUUAAAUUAACAAAACAUGGGCAGAGCAACCAUUGAACUAUUGAACAAAGAAGUUUUUCAUUUUCUGAAAGUUUAAAAAAAAAAUUAAACCAUAACAUGGUGAAAUUAGAAUUCUUCUUUUAUUUGGAUUUAAAUAAAUGAAUAGUAUGUCCAACAAGUUCACAGAGCAGGCACAGACCUUAAAAAAAAAACAAAAAAAAAAAAAACACAA